AGUGAACGCUGGCGGUAGGCCUAACACAUGCAAGUCGAACGGCAGCACAGUAAGAGCUUGCUCUUACGGGUGGCGAGUGGCGGACGGGUGAGGAAUACAUCGGAAUCUACUUUUUCGUGGGGGAUAACGUAGGGAAACUUACGCUAAUACCGCAUACGACCUACGGGUGAAAGCAGGGGAUCUUCGGACCUUGCGCGAUUGAAUGAGCCGAUGUCGGAUUAGCUAGUUGGCGGGGUAAAGGCCCACCAAGGCGACGAUCCGUAGCUGGCCUGAGAGGAUGAUCAGCCACACUGGAACUGAGACACGGUCCAGACUCCUACGGGAGGCAGCAGUGGGGAAUAUUGGACAAUGGGCGCAAGCCUGAUCCGGCCAUACCGCGUGGGUGAAGAAGGCCUUCGGGUUGUAAAGCCCUUUUGUUGGGAAGGAAAAGCAGCAGGUUAAUACCCCGCUGUUCUGACGGUACCCAAAGAAUAAGCACCGGCUAACUUCGUG
rnacentral:rRNA from 1 species